AUUGAACACUGGCGGCAUGCCUUACACAUGCAAGUCGAACGGCAGCGGGGGAGAAGCUUGCUUUUCCUGCCGGCGAGUGGCGAACGGGUGAGUAAUACAUCGGAACGUGCCCAGUAGUGGGGGAUAACUAGUCGAAAGAUUAGCUAAUACCGCAUACGACCUGAGGGUGAAAGGGGGGGACGGCAAGGCCUCAUGCUAUAGGAGCGGCCGAUGUCUGGAUUAGCUAGUUGGUGGGGUAAAGGCCUACCAAGGCGACGAUCAGUAGCUGGUCUGAGAGGACGAGCGGCCGCACUUGGACGGGGACAAGGCCCCAGCACCGACGGGAGGCAGCAGGGGGGAAUUUUGGACAAGGGGCGAAAGCCUGAUCCAGCCAUUGCGCGUGUGUGAAGAAGGGCUUCGGGUUGUAAAGGACUUUUGUCCGGAAAGAAAUGGCUCCGGUUAACAACUGGGGUUGAUGACGGUACCGGAAGAAUAAGGACCGGCUAACUACGUGCCAGCAGCCGCGGUAA
rnacentral:rRNA from 1 species